rnacentral:rRNA from 2 species
AAGCUUUGAUCCGGAGAUUUCCGAAUGGGGAAACCCCCUGUCUUUAAUCGGACAGGAUUCCUGCCUGAAUCCAUAGGGCAGGAAGGGCACACCCGGGGAACUGAAACAUCUCAGUACCCGGAGGAAGAGAAAGCAAUUGCGAUUUCCCAAGUAGCGGCGAGCGAACAGGAAACAGCCCAAACCGGAAGGCUUGCCUUCCGGGGUUGUAGGACACUCAUAUGGGAGUUACAAAAGAACGGGGUAAGUGAAGCGGCCUGGAAAGGCCUGCCGGAGAAGGUAAAAGCCCUGUAACUGAAACUUCGUUCUCUCCCGAGUGGAUCCUGAGUACGGCGGGACACGAGGAAUCCCGCCGGAAUCCGGGAGGACCAUCUCCCAAGGCUAAAUACUCCCUAGUGACCGAUAGUGAACCAGUACCGUGAGGGAAAGGUGAAAAGCACCCCGGGAGGGGAGUGAAAGAGAUCCUGAAACCGUGUGCCUACAAGUAGUCAGAGCCCGUUAACGGGUGAUGGCGUGCCUUUUGUAGAAUGAACCGGCGAGUUACGGUCUCAUGCAAGGUUAAGCUGAAGAAGCGGAGCCGCAGCGAAAGCGAGUCUGAACAGGGCGAAAGAGUAUGAGGCCGCAGACCCGAAACCAGGUGAUCUACCCAUGUCCAGGGU